rnacentral:rRNA from 1 species
CAGCAGCAGCCGCGGUAAUACGGAGGGGGCUAGCGUUGUUCGGAAUUACUGGGCGUAAAGCGUACGUAGGCGGCUUUGUAAGUUAGAGGUGAAAGCCUGGUGCUCAACACCAGAACUGCCUUUAAGACUGCAUCGCUUGAACGUCGGAGAGGUGAGUGGAAUUCCGAGUGUAGAGGUGAAAUUCGUAGAUAUUCGGAAGAACACCAGUGGCGAAGGCGGCUCACUGGACGACUGUUGACGCUGAGGUACGAAAGCGUGGGGAGCAAACAGGAUUAGAUACCCGAGUAGUCCCUGUCUCUUAUAU